GUAGGUGAACCUGCGGAAGGAUCAUUAACACGUAUCCACGUUCCACCCCCCUGCGCACAUCAGCACUGACGAGGAGGACGAGUCUCUGAGGCACCCUCCCCGAUCUUACUACAUAAAUUUGUAUUUUUACACCCCCAUGAACAUGCCACUCGUCUAACGUUUUAUGUUAUUUUCCCCCUGGGACUACAACAAAUACGAAACAACGAACAACUGUAAGCAAUGGAUAUCUUGGUUCUC
rnacentral:misc_RNA from 1 species